rnacentral:misc_RNA from 1 species
GAUGAAGAACGUAGUGAAAUGCGAUAAGUAAUGUGAAUUGCAGAUUUCAGUGAAUCAUCGAAUCUUUGAACGCACCUUGCGCCUUGUGGUAUUCCACAAGGCAUGCCCGUUUGAGUAUCAUUAAAUCAUCAACUCUAAAACCUUUGUGGUUUUUUUAGAGCUUGGUCUUGAGGGUUUUGCAGGCUUUUUUUUUCGAGUCUGCUCCCUUUAAAUGCAUUAGCGAGACUUCCCUAUGCUGAACCGUCUCUUUGACGUGAUAAUUAUCUGCGUCGAAUUUUGGUUCUCGUUGGGCUUGCUUCUAAUCGUCUGUUAAAGACAAAACGGAUUUGGGUGCAUAUAUGCGCCUUUUUCCAAAACCUUUUUUGAUCUCAAAUCGGGUAGGACUACCCGCUGAACUUAAGCAUAUCAAUAAGCGGAGGA